rnacentral:rRNA from 1 species
UGGGGGAUAUUGCACAAUGGGCGAAAGCCUGAUGCAGCGACGCCGCGUGGGGGAUGAAGGCUUUCGGGUUGUAAACCUCUUUCGCUAUCGAACAAGGCCCGCUUAGGGUGGGUUGAGGGUAGGUGGAGAAGAAGCGCCGGCUAACUACGUGCCAGCAGCCGCGGUAAUACGUAGGGCGCGAGCGUUGUCCGGAAUGAUUGGGCGUAAAGGGCUUGUAGGCGGCUUGUUGCGCCUGCUGUGAAAACGCGGGGCUUAACUUCGCGCGUGCAGUGGGUACGGGCAGGCUUGAGUGUGGUAGGGGUGACUGGAAUUCCAGGUGUAGCGGUGGAAUGCGCAGAUAUCUGGAGGAACACCGAUGGCGAAGGCAGGUCACUGGGCCAUUACUGACGCUGAGGAGCGAAAGCAUGGGUAGCGAACAGG